rnacentral:rRNA from 1 species
GCAAGUCGAACGGUAAGGCCCUUCGGGGUACACGAGUGGCGAACGGGUGAGUAACACGUGGGUAAUCUGCCCUGCACUUCGGGAUAAGCCUGGGAAACCGGGUCUAAUACCGGAUAUUCAGUUCCUGCCGCAUGGUGGGGGUUGGAAAGUUUUUCGGUGCAGGAUGAGCCCGCGGCCUAUCAGCUUGUUGGUGGGGUAAUGGCCUACCAAGGCGACGACGGGUAGCCGGCCUGAGAGGGUGAUCGGCCACACUGGGACUGAGACACGGCCCAGACUCCUACGGGAGGCAGCAGUGGGGAAUAUUGCACAAUGGGCGAAAGCCUGAUGCAGCGACGCCGCGUGGGGGAUGACGGUCUUCGGAUUGUAAACCCCUUUCAGUAGGGACGAAGCGCAAGUGACGGUACCUGCAGAAGAAGCACCGGCCAACUACGUGCCAGCAGCCGCGGUAAUACGUAGGGUGCGAGCGUUGUCCGGAAUUACUGGGCGUAAAGAGCUCGUAGGCGGUUUGUCGCGUCGUCCGUGAAAACUCGGAGCUUAACUCCGAGCUUGCGGGCGAUA